rnacentral:rRNA from 1 species
UACGUAGGGUGCAAGCGUUGUCCGGAAUUAUUGGGCGUAAAGAGCUCGUAGGCGGUCUGUCGCGUCUGCUGUGAAAACUCAGGGCUUAACCCUGAGCUUGCAGUGGGUACGGGCAGACUAGAGUGCGGUAGGGGAGACUGGAAUUCCUGGUGUAGCGGUGAAAUGCGCAGAUAUCAGGAGGAACACCGGUGGCGAAGGCGGGUCUCUGGACCGUAACUGACGCUGAGGAGCGAAAGCAUGGGGAGCGAACAGG